rnacentral:rRNA from 1 species
UACGAAGGGGGCUAGCGUUGUUCGGAAUCACUGGGCGUAAAGCGCACGUAGGCGGAUGUGCCAGUCAGGGGUGAAAUCCCGGAGCUCAACUCCGGAACUGCCUCUGAUACAGCACGUCUUGAGUUCGAGAGAGGUGGGUGGAAUUCCUAGUGUAGAGGUGAAAUUCGUAGAUAUUAGGAAGAACACCGGUGGCGAAGGCGGCCCACUGGCUCGAUACUGACGCUGAGGUGCGAAAGCGUGGGUAGCAAACAGG